UACGAAGGGUGCGAGCGUUAUUCGGAUUGAUUGGGCGUAAAGGGUGCGCAGACGGCUUAUUAAGUCAACUGUUAAAUUUCCCAGCUUAACUGGGAGCUCACAGUAGAUACUGGUAUGCUAGAGGAUGGGAGAGAGAAGUGGAAUUCUCGGAGUAGCGGUAAAAUGCGUAGAUCUCGAGAGGAACACCGAUGGCGAAGGCAGCUUCUUGGUCCAUUUCUGACGUUCAUGCACGAAAGCGUGGGGAGCAAACAGG
rnacentral:rRNA from 1 species